GCCUACAUGAAGCCGGAGUUGCUAGUAAUCGCGGAUCAGAAUGUCGCGGUGAAUGCGUUCCCGGGUCUUGUACACACCGCCCGUCACACCAUGGGAGUCGGAAAUGCCCGAAGCCAGUGAGCUAACCUAUUUAUAGGAGGCAGCUGUCGAAGGUAGGGUCGAUGACUAGGGUGAAGUCGUAACAAGGUAGCCGUAUCGGAAGGUGCGGCUGGAUCACCUCCUUU
rnacentral:ncRNA from 1 species